rnacentral:rRNA from 1 species
UACGUAGGGGGCAAGCGUUGUUCGGAAUUACUGGGCGUAAAGGGUUCGUAGGUGGCCACUUAAGUCAGACGUGAAAUCCCUCAGCUUAACUGGGGAACUGCGUCUGAUACUGCGUGGCUUGAGUGCAGGAGAGGAAUGCGGAAUUCCAGGUGUAGCGGUGAAAUGCGUAGAUAUCUGGAGGAACACCGGUGGCGAAGGCGGCAUUCUGGACUGUAACUGACACUGAUGAACGAAAGCCAGGGGAGCAAACGGG